rnacentral:rRNA from 1 species
GAUGAACGCUGGCGGCGUGCCUAAUACAUGCAAGUCGAGCGAACAGAUGAGGAGCUUGCUCCUCUGACGUUAGCGGCGGACGGGUGAGUAACACGUGGAUAACCUACCUAUAAGACUGGGAUAACUUCGGGAAACCGGAGCUAAUACCGGAUAAUAUAUUGAACCGCAUGGUUCAAUAGUGAAAGACGGUUUUGCUGUCACUUAUAGAUGGAUCCGCGCCGCAUUAGCUAGUUGGUAAGGUAACGGCUUACCAAGGCAACGAUGCGUAGCCGACCUGAGAGGGUGAUCCGCCACACUGGAACUGAGACACGGUCCAGACUCCUACGGGGAGCAGCAGUAGGGAAUCUUCCGCAAUGGGCGGAAGCCUGACGGAGCAACGCCGCGUGAGUGAUGAAGGUCUUCGGAUCGUAAAACUCUGUUAUUAGGGAAGAACAAAUGUGUAAGUAACUAUGCACGUCUUGACGGUACCUAAUCAGAAAGCCACGGCUAACUACGUG